AACGAACGCUGGCGGCGUGCCUAACACAUGCCAGUCGAACGAGAAAGGGGCUUCGGCUCCGAGUAAAGUGGCGCACGGGUGAGUAACACGUGGGUAACCUGCCUCUAAGAUUGGGAUAACUCGUCGAAAGAUGAGCUAAUACCGAAUAAGACCACAGUUCCCGCGGGAAAGGGGGUCAAAGUAGGCCUCGGCUUGCAGCUUAUCACUUGGGAUGGGGCCGUGGCACCAUUAGCUAGUUGGUAGGGUAACGGCCUACCAAGGCAAGGAUGGUUAGCUGGUCUGAGAGGAUGAUCAGCCACACUGGAACUGAGACACGGUCCAGACUCCUACGGGAGGCAGCAGUGGGGAAUAUUGCGCAAUGGGCGAAAGCUUGACGCAGCAACGCCGCGUGAGUGAUGAAGGCCUUCGGGUCGUAAAGCUCUGUCGGGAGGAACGAAUGCUCCUGAGGUUAACAGCCUCGGGAGGUGACGGUACCUUCAAAGGAAGCACCGGCUAACUCUGUG
rnacentral:rRNA from 1 species